rnacentral:rRNA from 1 species
AACGAACGCUGGCGGCAUGCCUAACACAUGCAAGUCGAACGAGACCUUCGGGUCUAUUGGCGCACGGGUGCGUACCUCGUGGGAACCUUCCCUUAUGUUCGGAAUCCCUCCCCGCCAGGGGUGCUCAUCCCGGAUAAUGUCUUCUGACCAAAGAUUUAUCGCCUUUGGCUGUGCCCUCGUUGGAUUCGCUAGUUGGUAGGGUAAACGCCUACCAAGGCGACGAUCCAUAGCUGGUCUGAGAGGAUGAUCAGCCACACUGGGACUGAGACACGGCCCAGAAUCCUACGGGAGGCAGCAGUGGGGAAUAGUGGACAAUGGGCGAAAGCCUGAUCCAGCAAUGCCGCGUGAGUGAUGAAGGCCUUAGGGUUGUAAAGCUCUUUUACCCGGGAUGAUAAUGACAGUACCGGGAGAAUAAGCGCCGGCUAACUCCGUG